CCGAAUCCCGAUACACCUGCCCUACAGAGUUGUGCGUGUGCCCCGUCACCCAGGAGGGCCACCCUGGACCCAGGGAGAGAGUGGCCGCACAGAGUUCAUGUGAAGCAGAGCCUGGAGAUGGCCUGGGAAGGCCUCCUUCACCGCCCUGGCCCCUCCACAGGGUCCUGGUUCACCGGUCCUGGGAUGAGGACCCAGAGCCCCUGGAGCCAGAGCCCGAGGAGUCCGGGGCAGGAGCAGAAGCCGGUGCGGCUCCAGAGCCCGACCCAAGGGCAUCUAGGUCCUCGGCGUCUCUGCAGGCAGGGGUGGAGUCUGGGGCGACUCCUGCAGGGGCCGGAGAGCCAGCAGGUGACCUGGUACCUGUGCUGGGACAGCGGGCACCUGAGCAGAGUCAGCUGGUUCCUGCUUCUGCUCCCGACACCGUUCCUGCCACCGCCCUUGUUCCCCUAUGGAUUCCGGCCACAAAUCAAGGGCCCAAAGGCCUUCGAGGGGUGUUUAUUGUGUUUCUAAUUGUUGCUCCAGUCCCAGUCCCCGACCCCUCCACCAGAAUGACUCUUCCUCUUCUCCCUUAUCCUUUCUCUCCUCUACCUUUUAGGUGUUACAUUAUUUGUUCAUGGUAUGUUUAAAAUCCACAUUAAUCUUCAAUAAAAAUUUAUUUAAUUUA